rnacentral:rRNA from 1 species
AGAGGGUGAAACUCCCGUCCGCCUGGUAGAAUGAGUCUUUGUCAACGAGUCGAGUUGUUUGGGAUUGCAGCCCUAAUUUGGUGGUAAAUUCCAUCUAAAGCUAAAUAUUGGUGGGAGACCGAUAGCGUACAAGUACCGUGAGGGAGAGAUGCAAAGAACUUUGAAAAGAGAGUUAAAGAGUACCUGAAAUUGCUGAAACGGAAGCGAAGGAAACCAGUGUUUGUGGUUCAUAUUUCCUUGGCCACUUGUGGUUUGGGCGCUGUGAGCUUGCGUGGGUUUGGGUUGGUUGAUCCCUUUGGAUGAGCGCAGUCAGAGUUGAUGUCU